CACUUUAAAAUUAGAACUCCAACACAAGAAAAAAUCUGGAAAGAGCACAAAUACAUAAAGGUUUAAUAACAUAGUCCUAAACAAUGAAUGGCUCAACCAGGAAUUUUAAAAUAACAUGGA